AAUGACCUAUGCAGAACUCAAAGGCAGAAUUAACAAGGAAGUGAAAAUAGUUUUAUUCUUCUAAUAUCAUGUAUUUCCUUAUAUAUUAAGGAAGAAUUGGUCUCUGUUUAGCAUAACCAUUAUUAAAAAUAUUUAUGUGAGAAAAAAUGUGUCUGGAACUGUUAGAAAUAUACAAUUAAAUAUGUUAUUUGUCCACUUUAUAUGAUAUUUAUGCUAUAUGUGUCUAUUUCUCCUCCUUGCUUUUUAGGUUAUCAGCAUGAAAAUCAGCCUCUGUUUCUAAGAAAUUCUAAAAAUAUUACUCACCUAUGCCUAUCAUGUCCUGCCACAUUAUAAUCUUGGUUACAGCUCUCAAAAUGUCAGAGCAGAUCAUGAACUAAAGAUGUGUCAUAGCCACGGAAGCCCUAGUCUGGCAGGAAAGAAGAGUCAUUAGGCAUCAUCUGGCAACUUGGCUUGGAGAAGUCAGAUCAGUCACCAAGAGUCUGGUGGGGCUGCAGCAAUGGCUAGAAAGAACCAGUGACAUGAUUGCCAGAUAGAGUGGUCAGAGAAGACCUUUCUGAGGCCAUGGUAUUUAAGAUGAGACUUGAAGAGCAACAAGAAGCUAGACACACAAAGCAGAUAAUUUUUUAAUGGCCAUUUCUGGAGAGAAGUUUCCAAGGGAUGAAGUUAUUAUACAGUUUCCAAAUAUUCCUGAAGAGGUCUAAAGAAAAUGUAUUCUGAUUCCACCUUUUACCUGUUUUCCUUUUUUUUUUUCUCUCUCUCUCUUUUUGGAAUUUGUUAUUUGGAUAUAGGAUACACUAGGCUGGUGCUCCAAUUUUCUUAUAUUUUCUGUUUUCCUUGAAGUUUUAGGGGACUUUCUGAACUUUAUUUUUCAAAAUUCAGUUGAGUCUUUAUUGUUUUCCAAAUAUCAACAUUUCUUACCCAGACUAAUGAACUAGCCUACUCACUCAUCUUUCUGAUCCUAUUCCUCUAUAUUAUCCACCCCAAUCCCAAGUUAAUUCUUGUAUGGUCUUUUUGAAAGACUGCAUGAGGUUUUUUGUUUUUAUUUCUGCUUAAAUUAUUUGCUGAUUUAUUUGCACUUAGGAUACAGGCCUAAAUCCUUAGCUUUGCUGACAUCAUGAAAGAUGUGGGCCCUCCCUAGCACUCCAGUUUCAUCUUACAUCAUGCCACUCUUUGGUACUUUAUCCUUACUGUCCAGCUUCAUUUCCUAGAGUGUCCUGUGACCCUCUUGACUCAGAGCCUCUGCACGUGCUGUUCCCUGUGUUUGUCUCCUUUGUCCAGCUCUACCAACUUCCUUUAUCUCUCAGUGUUCAGGUGUCAUCUCAUCUCCAGCAUGAAUUAGAUGUCUUAUCUUGUGCUUCUCAUUGGGCUAUACUGUAAUGCUUAGCACAUUAGUCAGUUCCCUCAUUGCUAUAAAGAAAUACCUGAGGCUGGGUAAUUUAUAAAGAAAGGAGGUUUAAUUGG
rnacentral:lncRNA from 1 species